GACCACUCAGGUGGCCUAGUGGUUAGAGCGUCCGCCUCGGAUGCUGGAGGCGUGGGUUCGCAGGUUUUGAGCCCCGGCCGAGUCA